rnacentral:lncRNA from 1 species
GAUCCGGCUAAAGAAAUAUCGCGGUAUGGGUUCUCUCGAUGCCAUGGACAAGCACCUCAGCAGCCAGAACAGAUAUUUCAGGUGGGACAGGCAAGCCAGUUACCCCACCCUAAUCCUGCACUGACAGUCUCAUCUCUGCUGUGACCUUGCCCGUGUCUCUGCCUCUCCCUGCAGUGAAGCUGACAAAAUCAAAGUGGCCCAGGGAGUGUCUGGUGCUGUGCAGGACAAAGGGUCAAUCCACAAAUUUGUCCCUUACCUGAUUGCUGGCAUCCAACACUCAUGCCAGGACAUUGGUGCCAAGAGCUUGACCCAAGUCCGAGCCAUGAUGUACUCUGGGGAGCUUAAGUUUGAGAAGAGAACGUCCUCAGCCCAGGUGGAAGGUGGCGUCCAUAGCCUCCAUUCGUAUGAGAAGCGGCUUUUCUGAAAAGGGAUCCAGCACACCUCCUCGGUUUUUUUUUCAAUAA